rnacentral:lncRNA from 1 species
CUUCAGCACCACGGCGGAAGGCAGCGGUGCUGCGCGGGCGGCCGGAGCGUGCGGGCCGGCGCUGCGGGGCGCGCAGCCGGGCGCGGCCACCGACCUUCCCGGUGCGGCCACCGACCUCCCGGUGCCGCGGCGCCGGCUGCGGGGCUGCGGGAGGGGCCGUGUCGCACCUAACGGGCGCAUUACGAGGGUGAACGCUUUGCGAAGCCCGCAGCUACCCCGGUAACGGGCCGAGCGCGGCAGGACGCGUUGGUGGGUGUGUGAGCGGCCGUCCCGUCCCACCCGCUGGGCGCUGCUUGCAGGGCGCUGACGGUAAAAGCCACGCAGCGCUCCGGCGGGGCAGCGCGGCGGGGCCCAGCCCGCAGCCCGCAGCCUGCCGGUGCCCGGGACGGGCCGCGCUCCGCCUCAGCGGCAGCCCCGGCGCGGCCGUCGGUGCAGGCGGGCACCGGGCGGUCUGCGCCGCUGCGGGGACCCCCGCCGGGCCGCGGCACCUGCGCCGGGCUGGGGCAGUGCCCCCCCCCCCCCNCCCCCCCCCCCUGCACCCCCCGGUGCAGCCCCCCGGCGGCGCCCGCUCUGCCGCGCUCCCCCUGCCGGCCGGCCGCGGCGGGGGCGGCACCGGGGCCGGCGGGGCGCAGCGACGCGGGGCCGGGCGCCGCCACCCGGGACGCGGCAGCGGCGGGGGGGGCCGGGCUCGCCCGCGCACGCAGGCGCCCCGCCGCCGGCUGCCCCGGGGGGGCGGGGGGGCGUCCCGCGGCGGCCGCUCGGCGCCGGCGGCCGUGACCCGUGCGGGAGAGGCUCCCGGGAGGGCGGGGAAGUCCACUCCGGGAUUUCGGGGGCGCCGCGCAGUGACACAUUGACAUCACGGGGGCGCGGCCGGGCGGCGGGCGGGGGCUGCGCGCUGAAAGGCGGCGGGGCGCGGCCGGAGUCACUCCGGAACGGCGGCGGGACAGCGCGGAGCGGGCGGCGGGACGGCGCGGCUGCCUACACUGCCCGGGCUGGACUCCGCGCCGGGGCCGCCAAUGUGCCUCGGGGAGCAGGCGUGCACCUCGGCCUCAGGUCUGCUACUGUUCAAAUAAAUCAUAUAGCAAAGCAAGAAUGUAUCCUGUCUCCUCCUAAAGCAGACCACAAUUACUGCAAAGAAGCUGUCCGCUCAUUACUGCAAGCUCUGGGGAAAAGGAGUGACAGAAUAUAGACCAGUAUAGGAGACGAGCGUUAGUCUAGAGAGACCCUUGCUGCGGCAAGUAUAAUAUGUAAAUUCCAACAUUAAGCACUUUGGAAAAAGUCCAAAAGAUGAAGAUACAUACAUUACUGCUGCUAGGGGGAAGGAAGGGAAUCUUAAAUGUCUCUACAGAGAAUGUUUACUUGGUGGUUUUUUUUCCUUCCCUUUUUUAAAGGGCAAGACAGCUGUGAGUGAGAAACUUUACACUUAGACUAGACAUUGGAAUCAGGUUUAAUGUUAGUUUAUCCUGUUUUUAGCUGGGUUAAAGUUUAGAUGUAGAUAGGGAUGCAUAUGUACCCACUCCUGCUAAUGACCUGAAAUCACUAACAUCUGAUAGCCCUUAGAAAAAGCUAAAAUGAAGUUACUGGCUCAGCUGACUUCAUGGCAGACAAUUGGUCCUGCCUCAGAGCCUGUCUUCACAAUUAGUACCGAUUAACAGUCACGCUGCCACCAAUACUGCACAGAGACUGGAAAGUAAAAUACAGUCUUGGAGACUCUAUGAGGUCCCUUACAAAACCAAAAUGUCUUCAAAAAGCAGCUGAUCCUGCUUUGCCUGCUCUGAUGAUGGACAACUGUGUUCUUUGUUUUAGUCCUUUCCCUUCACUCCUGUGCCCGAUACUGCACGUUUUGUAAUGCCAAAGCAGCUUUUAAAAGCCCCACCCCCAAGUAUUUUAGCAGGUUAAUCUACUAGAAGUAUUCUAACAAAACACAAAGUAAACAGUGAUAUCUGUCGUAGAAUGAUUUCUGCUGUGUUUAUGCUUGCGUUUUGAAAACCCAGAACAUUACUAGAUAACUAGAUGUAGAUUAUUCUAGGUACACCUGAAGAGAUCUGUUCCUGGUGUUUUGGAAAGGGCCAGGUUCUGAGGGAAAGAAUUGGCCUGUUGUGAUGAGUAGAGCUGGAUUCUUGUAAUAAAGAAUACUGAUUCCUAGGCACGUAUCCCUCUAAAAAUUUUGAACUAACUAAACGAAAACCAUGAUUGUGUUAAAAUGGGAAAGAUGAUUAAUGGGAGAAUG